rnacentral:ncRNA from 1 species
CAAGGUUCUGGGUGUGACUCCCAGAAGGCUAGUCCGGCCGCCGAUCCGCCGGAAAACC